GACGAACGCUGGCGGCGUGCUUAACACAUGCAAGUCGGACGGAAAGGCCCUGCUUUUGUGGGGUGCUCGAGUGGCGAACGGGUGAGUAACACGUGAGUAACCUGCCCUUGACUUUGGGAUAACUUCAGGAAACUGGGGCUAAUACCGGAUAGGAGCUCCUGCUGCAUGGUGGGGGUUGGAAAGUUUCGGCGGUUGGGGAUGGACUCGCGGCUUAUCAGCUUGUUGGUGGGGUAGUGGCUUACCAAGGCUUUGACGGGUAGCCGGCCUGAGAGGGUGACCGGCCACAUUGGGACUGAGAUACGGCCCAGACUCCUACGGGAGGCAGCAGUGGGGAAUAUUGCACAAUGGGCGGAAGCCUGAUGCAGCAACGCCGCGUGCGGGAUGACGGCCUUCGGGUUGUAAACCGCUUUCGCCUGUGACGAAGCGUGAGUGACGGUAAUGGGUAAAGAAGCACCGGCUAACUACGU
rnacentral:rRNA from 1 species